rnacentral:rRNA from 1 species
GACGAACGCUGGCGGCGUGCUUAACACAUGCAAGUCGAACGGAAAGGCCCUGCUUUUGUGGGGUGCUCGAGUGGCGAACGGGUGAGUAACACGUGAGUAACCUGCCCUUGACUUUGGGAUAACUUCAGGAAACUGGGGCUAAUAUCGGAUAGGAGCUCCUGCUGCAUGGUGGGGGUUGGAAAGUUUCGGCGGUUGUGGAUGGACUCGCGGCUUAUCAGCUUGUUGGUGGGGUAGUGGCUUACCAAGGCUUUGACGGGUAGCCGGCCUGAGAGGGUGACCGGCCACAUUGGGACUGAGAUACGGCCCAGACGCCUACGGGAGGCAGCAGUGGGGAAUAUUGCACAAUGGGCGGAAGCCUGAUGCAGAAACGCCGCGUGCGGGAUGACGGCCUUCGGGUUGUAAACCGCUUUCGCCUGUUACGAAGCGUGAGUGACGGUAAUGGGUAAAGAAGCACCGGCUAACUACGUG